rnacentral:rRNA from 1 species
AUUGAACGCUGGCGGCAGGCCUAACACAUGCAAGUCGAGCGGCAGCGGGAAAGUAGCUUGCUACUUUUGCCGGCGAGCGGCGGACGGGUGAGUAAUGCCUGGGAAAUUGCCCAGUCGAGGGGGAUAACAGUUGGAAACGACUGCUAAUACCGCAUACGCCCUACGGGGGAAAGCAGGGGACCUUCGGGCCUUGCGCGACUGUAUAUCCCCAGGGGGGAUUAGCUAGUUGGUGAGGUGAUGGCUCACCAAGGCGACGAUCCCUAGCUGGUCUGAGAGGAUGAUCAGCCACACUGGAACUGAGACACGGUCCAGACUCCUACGGGAGGCAGCAGUGGGGAAUAUUGCACAAUGGGGGAAACCCUGAUGCAGCCAUGCCGCGUGUGUGAAGAAGGCCUUCGGGUUGUAAAGCACUUUCAGCGAGGAGGAAAGGUUGGUAGCUAAUAACUGCCAGCUGUGACGUUACUCGCAGAAGAAGCACCGGCUAACUCCGUGCCAGCCGCCGCGGUAAGAC